CAUACCGCCGGCCCCGAAAUACAGUGGCGGCCCGUCCGCGGCGACCUCUGCGUAGUACUCCAACGCGCACCGGGAACCCGACGCGGCCACGCCGUAAAACACCCAACUUCUGAACGUUGACCUCGGAUCAGGUAGGAAU
rnacentral:rRNA from 1 species